UACCAGCACCCCGAGUGGUCGGGACGAUUAUUGGGCCUAAAGCAUCCGUAGCCGGUUUUACAAGUCCUCCGUUAAAUCCAACUGCUUAACAGAUGGGCCGCGGAGGGUACUAUAAGACUAGGAGGCAGGAGAGGCAAGCGGUACUCAGUGGGUAGGGGUAAAAUCCGUUGAUCCAUUGAGGACCACCAGUGGCGAAGGCGGCUUGCCAGAAUGCGCUCGACGGUGAGGGAUGAAAGCUGGGGGAGCAAACCGG
rnacentral:rRNA from 1 species